rnacentral:lncRNA from 1 species
UCUGUUCUUCCUAUUUAUAACAGUUCAGGGGAACACGCACACACACAGUCACGUGAAAAAACACAAACGGGACAGAAGUAGAAAAGGGACCUAGGGUUCUUGAGAACUUUGAAAAAUCAGAAAAUUAAAACAAAAACAAAAAAAAGGACUUCUGUUCUUCUCGUUCACUGAUUUUCGUUCCAAAAAUGGACGUGUUUGAGUUUGAGGCUGAUCCGAAUUGGUGAAAUUGAGGUGUGUUCGAGGUAGCAGCCGGUCUGUGUUUGAGGUUUAGCUAUGGUCGAUUGUUGUUCCGGUUUUUCAAUCCUGGUUCACGGUUUCUGUUCGAGUGUUGUCGCUGCUGUUUCAUUCAAAUUUUGGAGUUAAAAUCUUGUACUUGCUGAUUUUGUAUCGAGAAGGGGUUUUCUUAACAUGUUUACUCUUUUCUCUUUUAUUAUUGCUUGCGAUGUUAUUUUUUGUGUGACGAUAAAUUAU